UCGUUUUUCGAAAGCAACCUCGCUCUCAAAGUGCUUCGUUACUGUGUUGGUCAAGGCAAAUCCCUUGAUUAACGCAGAACUUUGAAAAUUUCACCGCAGGUACAACAUUUAAUUAUUCAGGAUUGUACUUGUGUGUAAGCACUUUAAAUUAUUGUAAAAGUAUGUAAAAAAAACCUAUUUAUUUUUUAUUAGAUGCAACGAGUCACAAUGCGAUGCUAUGUUUGCUGGACAUGCUACCUACCAUGGGAAAGCAUUGCACAUCAGCUAAAAAUGCCCGCCAAUAUUUCAUCGACGAGAUAAAAAUCGGUGAUAGUUUGGAAGCAUACUUGGAAUCUUGCCAGCAAGAGAACAAAAAGCUCGAAAGGUUUCAGUUGUACAUUUUAAAAACGGGUGCCACUGAGGAAGCAUUCUAUUAAAUUAUCUGUGAUGGUCGUGCCUUGUUAGUGAAGCCAUCGAAAGCUGCCAAUGCUCUUUCAGAUUUAUUUUCAACGUUUUUUGUUUUUAAUGUCAGAUAUCCAUCUCAGCUUA